rnacentral:rRNA from 1 species
CCUACGGGUGGCAGCAGUGAGGAAUAUUGGUCAAUGGGCGCUAGCCUGAUCCAGCCACGCCGCGUGAAUGAUGACUGCUCUCGGGGUGGUAAGCUUCUUUUGUAUGGGAGUAAGGUGCAGUAUGUAUACUGCUUUGCAUGUACCUUAUGAAUAAGGAUCGGCUAACUCCGUGCCAGCAGCCGCGGUAAUACGGAGGAUUCGAGCGUUGUCCGGAUUUAGUGGGUUUAAAGGGAGCGUAGGCGGGUUGUUAAGUCAGUUGUGAAAGGUUGCGGCUCAACCGUAAAAUUGCAGUUGAUACUGGCAUCCUUGAGUACAGUAGAGGUAGGUGGAAUUCGUGGUGUAGCGGUGAAAUGCGUAGAUAUCACGAAGAACUCCGAUUGCGAAGGCAGCUUGCUGGACUGUAACUGACGCUGAUGCUCGAAAGUGUGGGUAGCAAACAGGAUUAGAUACCCUUGUAGUC